rnacentral:rRNA from 1 species
UACGAAGGGGGCUAGCGUUGCUCGGAAUUACUGGGCGUAAAGGGCGCGUAGGCGGAUAUUUAAGUUAGAGGUGAAAGCCCGGGGCUCAACUCCGGAAUUGCCUUUAAGACUGCAUCGCUAGAAUUGUGGAGAGGUAAGUGGAAUUCCGAGUGUAGAGGUGAAAUUCGUAGAUAUUCGGAAGAACACCAGUGGCGAAGGCGACUUACUGGACACAUAUUGACGCUGAGGUGCGAAAGCGUGGGGAGCAAACAGGG